AACUUUCGGCAAUGGAUCUCUUGGUUCUGGCAUCGAUGAAGAACGCAGCGAAACGCGAUAAGUAAUGUGAAUUGCAGAAUUUAGUGAAUCAUCGAAUCUUUGAACGCACAUUGCGCCCCUUGGUAUUCCGAGGGGCAUGCCUGUCUGAGCGUCAUGAACACCCCUUGAGCCCCGCUCAGUGUUGGGCGCGGUCGGCCACGACCGGCCUCAAAUCCAGUGGUGUCGUCACUGAAGCCCAAGCGCAGUCUGGUUUUACCCUCGCUCCGGGUGGCAGUGGUCGACGACCAUCGAUCCCCCAACCUCCAAUGGUUGACCUCAGAUCAGGUAGGGAUACCCGCUGAACUUAAGCAUAUCAAUAAGCGGAGGCU
rnacentral:misc_RNA from 1 species